CCAUCGGUGGUUCAGUGGUAGAAUGCUUGACUGCCACGCGGGCGACCUGGGUUCGAUUCCUGGCCGAUGCA
rnacentral:tRNA from 1 species